UACGUAGGGUGCGAGCGUUGUCCGGAAUUAUUGGGCGUAAAGAGCUCGUAGGCGGUGUGUCGCGUCGGCCGUGAAAACCUGGGGCUCAACUCUGGGCGUGCGGUCGAUACGGGCAUCACUGGAGUUCGGCAGGGGAGACUGGAAUUCCUGGUGUAGCGGUGAAAUGCGCAGAUAUCAGGAGGAACACCGGUGGCGAAGGCGGGUCUCUGGGCCGUAACUGACGCGUGAGGAGCGAAAGCCAGGGAGCGAACGGG
rnacentral:rRNA from 1 species